rnacentral:rRNA from 1 species
CCUACGGGUGGCAGCAGUGAGGAAUAUUGGUCAAUGGGCGCGAGCCUGAACCAGCCAAGUCGCGUGAGGGAAGACGGUCCUAUGGAUUGUAAACCUCUUUUGUCGGGGAGCAAAAGACGCCACGCGUGGCGUUCCGAGAGUACCCGAAGAAAAAGCAUCGGCUAACUCCGUGCCAGCAGCCGCGGUAAUACGGAGGAUGCGAGCGUUAUCCGGAUUCAUUGGGCGUAAAGGGCGCGUAGGCGGCCGCCUAAGCGGAACCUCUAACCCCGGGGCUCAACCUCGGGCCGGGUGCCGGACUGGGCGGCUCGAGUGCGGUAGAGGAGAGCGGAAUUCCCGGUGUAGCGGUGGAAUGCGCAGAUAUCGGGAAGAACACCGAUGGCGAAGGCAGCUCUCUGGGCCGUCACUGACGCUGAGGCGCGAAAGCUGGGGGAGCGAACAGGAUUAGAUACCCCGGUAGUC